AUUGAACGCUAGCGGGAUGCCUUACACAUGCAAGUCGAACGGAGUGGCGAACGGGUGAGUAAUGUAUCGGAAUGUGCCCAGUAGCGGGGGAUAACUACGAGAACGCGUAGCUAUAACCGCAUACUAUUGCAGCGGUCGCUAUCGGACUAGAUAGGGGGAGGGGUAACGGCUCACCCAGGCGUCGAUCCGUAGCCGGUCUGAGAGGAGGACUAGCCACACUGGAACGGAGAAACGGCCCAGACUCCUACGGGAGGCAGCAGUGGGGAAUUUGGGACAAUGGGGGAAACCCUGAUGCAGCCAGCCCGCGUGUAGGAAGAAGGCCUUCGGGUUGUAAAGCACUUUUGGCAGGGAAGCGGUACCUGCAGAAAAAGCACCGGCUAACUACGUGCCAGCAGCCGCGGUAAUUC
rnacentral:rRNA from 1 species